GGCGAUUUCCUGCCCUGUGGCGGGGUUCUUGAUUUGACCCAGGGCACAGACCGUUUCCUGGCUUGGAGAGAGUAAUGUUAUCGCCGCUCCGUGUGCUUGGGUUCCCGACUUUCUAGAGUGCUCCCGUCUCGGGCCGUCUCAACCCUUUAAAAGAACCCUCCUGUUGGCGACAUAUCUGCAGGUUUUGUGGACAUGUCUUCGGCGUCCUCAAAGCACUUUAAAUUUCUUAAAGGCCGGAAGACGAAAGUAUAAGCUCCAGAAGACAAAGCCCUGUGUUGGAUUUUGCCCAUUUAGAACUGUGUGCCCUACUUAGAACUGUGCGCCCUACUUAGAACUGUGCGGAACACCAGGCAGGAGACACAGAUAUCCCACACAGCCUACCUUGAAGACAAUGUACGAAUAGAUCCUCAUCGACUUUUCCAACAAGGUCCAAGAAAAUUUCUCUUACACAAACACUCGCAAGGCAGAAGUAGAGCAGAGUCCCUUGAGACAUAAUUCUUAAGAUCACUCCAAGGUAAGAUUCCAGUGAAGUCAGGUACCCGUGACUGCAACUCUGGAGCAAGAUGCUUAACCUGUAAGUCUGUGCUUUAGGGACAAAUUGUCUCAUCCCACACCAGACUCUCUCUUCAGAAUAUGUAUACUUGUUUUCAGCAUUUGGCUGCAUGAUUUGGCACAUUUGUUCUCCACCUUGGUGAAUGGUUAGAACUACCAAGGUUUCUUUAAAUAUGCCAAUAACCCAGGCCCCAAAUGAGUGGUCUCUCUGAUGGCAUGGCUCAGGCAUCUAUGUUUUUGAGGACGUUAUUUGAUUCAAACACACAGAGCGAGAGCCUCUCACUCAGAGGAAGGAACAGCACCCUGGAGUCAAACACCCUUGGCUCCACCAUUCUGCUGACUGUGUGACCUUGACCUCAAUCUGUAAUGUGUAACAUCAGAUGGGAGAACUGACAGCUCUCAGAGUCUUUGUGAGGGUACAGGCUCACUUAUGCGAAUUACCCAGCCCAGUAGAAGCCCAGUAGAUGUUGACUGUUAUCGUACGUGUACUGACUUUUACUGAGUACACUUUUCCUAAGUAUGAUUGUAGGGUGGGGGUAGGCAUGGAGUUGUCCACGACUGAAGUAGAAACUCUCUGAGGUUGGAGACUGUGGUUUACUUUGCAUCUAAAUCCCCUGCAGAUCCUGACAUAGCACUGAGCAUAUAGUAAAGAGGUAUAUAACAACUUUAUUGACUAUUUUGGUUAAUUUAUGGACAGAAAGGAAGCUCACAAUCAUCUUCAGCUCUGUCAAAUAUAUUUUAAAACAUCCGAAUUGCAUUCUAGUAGACUCACCACAGCUUUUGAUAAAAAUCCAAAGAGCAUUUGAUCAUCUGAGUCUAAGCCACAGAAAACCUUUUCUGUAAUCAAACUGUGAGCCCAUCAGCUGAGAUAUUACAUUUGGAGGACAGUCAUGUUUGCCCCAAGGCUUUUCAUUUGAUACAGGGCCAUAGGAAGGAAGCUGCAUCGAUCGUAAAGGCGAGACCUGGCUUUCAUUUCUGAAAGAACUAAUGUGGGUGUCAUGUUUUAGAAAUGAGGGCAAUUGGAAGGCAGUCAGUAUAGCCUGGGUACUUGGGUGCACAAAGCUGAUACUUGAACGGGCUCAUGUAGUAGGAAUGAGUGGACAGAGACUCUGGGAACAAUGUGGGGAAACGAAGAGUAUGCAUUACUGUGUCAGGACAGCAAGGAGCUCUCUACAUCCUUUCUGGCUUAAGCCCAGAGUGGUCUUAUAAGUAGAGCAGGGGGACCUGUGGGGCCAGCUGCAGCAAGCAAGUAGGGAUGAAGACACAGCAAGGGAGGUCAGGCACAGGGGUGCAUCUUCUCUGAGCUGGACAUGCUGCAGCACCACAUGUGCAUCCCUGCCACUCUCUCCACUGUCUUGGGAAGCAGGCAUCAGUUAGAGCAGACUGGCAGCCUGCAGACAUGUCUUGUGUGGCCAGUGUAUUUAGUCCACACAGUGUUUUAAAACAUAGUGCAACUAACAGUGUUAUUCUAGAUCAUAACAGAAUUCAGCAGCUUCAUCACCUUCUAUGCCAUCUGCCAUCCCUGUAUAACUUUCUAAUUUUUAUUGCCUCACCUGUGGCAUAUGGAAGUUCCCAGGCCAGGGAUUGAAUCCAAACCACAGCGCAACCUACACCACAGCUGUGGCAAUUCCCAAUCCUUUAACCCACUGUGCCAGGCCGAGGAUCAAACCACAUCUUCACAAUGACUAGAGCCUCUGCAGUCAGAUGCUUAACCCACUGCAUCACAGCAGGAACUCCCCAAGUAUGAUUUUGAGUUUGCAAAGUCAAGGUUACGCCUGUUGAUAGCCACAGAGAACAGCUGUUGUUUCAGUCAAAUGUAAUAAAAUGCUCUUCAUUUUAUUGCAUGUUUCAAGUUUUAGUCUGGUGUUCUUUAAAUUCCCACUCUCUCACCAAAGGUAAUGGUAAUUCAGACCAGUGAGUGAGAGAAGAGAGAUAUGGUUCUUAUCCUGAGUCAUUAGUUACAGGGUGCCCAGGGAGCUUUGGAGUAUGUGCCAUAGGUGUGCCUGGGAUUUGGAUUUCUGAGGUGUUGUAAGAAGUCAGCAGCAAACUGGAAGUCAAGGAAAACUAAGGCUCCAACGUCAUGGCUUGCAAUAAAUCAAGUCAGAACUCAAGUCAUCUGAGCACCAGGAUGUGGACCAGAAUGGGAAGCAAGGUCUGCCUCUAUCAGAAGGCUCUAAAGUACCAUUCUCUCUGGCAGGGUUGACCAUGGGCAUGAGACAGUGUAUGUGGGAGUUUUAAUAUGUAUUUUACCUGAAAAAGAAGGGCUGUCACCAGCUCAAAUUUCAAAUAUAUUUCUAGUUUUAAAAAGUUGCCACCCUUUCCAUUUUCUCUCAGAUCUCAGAAAAAAAUCACCUUUGUUGGAGUAAUUAGUCAAAUAACUAGGUCUGAUGGGAAAAAUACAGAGGGUCAUUUAAAAAGAGAUGACUCUCUGGGCUGAUGUCUUUCUGCUUAUUGGAUUUCUAUUAAUACUGUAUUAGCCCAUAACUAUUUUCAUAAUGGGUUUUUUUAAAUUUUGAUUUUUACUCAUAACUUUUAUAGAAUGAAAUCCAUGAUGUUAACACCACAGUUUUGUCCUUUUUGCAUUCUUUUUCCAUUUUUUCCAAGUGUACCACAUAUUACAUUAGGUUUGUAAUACAAUACAGUUGUGAUUUUUUUGUCAUAUGAUCUGUCAAAAUUUUUCUCAGAAAAAUACUGUUUUUAUAUUCAUGAAGACGAUAUUUUUUAUUUUUGGCAAGGUUAUCUUUCUCCAACAUUAGAAUGAUACUAGCAUAAUAUGCAUGUACGGUUGCAUAGUGUUCAUUUACACCAACAUUUACAUUGACAUUCAGUUGCAUUUACCAAAGAUAAAUGGCCUAAAGCAGAUUAAAUACAUUAAUGCACGUAUCAGUUGUUUCCAAUUGCUUUUUUUUUAAGGCUUCAUACUUCUUUAUAACUGUAAUCAUCCCUUGAUAUCUUCAGAGGAUCCCCACAGAUACCAAAAUAGUGGAUAUUAUGGCAUAGCACAGUUGGUUGUCCAUUUCACUCAUGAGGAACCAGUAGAUACAGGGGCAGCUGUCUCUUUUAUUAGCAUAAAGCCAAUGAAUUGGAUUACUAAGUCAGUGAUUCUGACAAUAAAACAAGACUUAUUAAGUUUACAAAGAAUUUCCCUAUAGGUUUCAGCUUUUAAUACUAAAAGUUUCCAAUAAAGUGUGCAAAGUGCAAAUUAUUUCACCCAUUUUAUAGGCAGAAAAACUGAGCUAAAGCGAGGUUAGGUGACUUGCCCAAGCCAGAUGAACCAUAGUGGCAGAGUAAGUCCUAAAAUAAAAGUCUUCUAGUUCUUGGCUUUUCCUUCUGAACAGGAGACAUUAAGGAGACUCUUUGUUUGGCUUUGUUUUAUUUUUAGUUGUCAUUGUUAUUUCCCAAAUUUAUAAUUUUUCUUCUUUUGCUGUAAUUUGGAGGAAGGGUCUUAAGGGAGAAGAAAAUUUUGUUUAGUGAAUUUCAAUACAAGGAUGAAAUUUAGAAUAAUAACUAUAAUAACUGAGCCCUUCGGUAUUCCAGCACUCUGCUAAGUGAUGGACAUCAGUGGUGUGUGCUGGGGCCAACAAGCGGAUUGUAAGGACAUCAUCCACCUUGAAAUGGCCCAGGUGGGAGUACUUACACCAUGGUAGUCAGAAAAUGCUGCCCUCCCCACCUCAGUCAGAAGAGCUGAUUAUUAAACACUUGCUGGCACACCCCAGAAAAUGAAUUAUUUCAUUUAAUGGGUUCAAACAAGCAUAUUUUACAGUAGUAAUCCUCAUUCACUGGUGAAAAGACUGAGGCCAGAGAGGGUAAAUGAUUUCCAGGUAUUAAACAGCUAUGAGGUAGCAGACUUGUAAUCGACACCAGGCAGUCUGAUUCCAAAAAUUAAUGUUUAACCACCAUAUAUCACUGUUUCCUAUUCUUCAGACCAGUGAAGACAGUUAGAAAUAUUCUGAGAUGGUGGAUUUUGUUUUUUGCUUUAUUUUGCCAAACUCAAGUGGAUAAGGCUCAACUUUGAAAAGUCUUACUGUCCUCCCCAGUCCCACUGUAUCCCUUUCAGGCAAGUUGAUGGUAAAAACAGAGAGUCCCCAUUUGUCAUGAAUGAGUCAUGUGUUCCAAGGGCAUGAGUAUCUUGCCCAGGGUGAGUAAAGGAGUCCACAGCCCUUCAGGGCCACUCAGUCCGUUAAGCUCCACAGAUUCCCUUGAUGAGUGAGCUGAAAGCCUCAGGCUUGGGACUCAGGUAAACAAUGGAGAAGGUUGCUCAGCCUGUGAAAAGCCACAUGCCUUGACAGCUGUAACUGGGAUUAAACAACCCUAAUUUCCUUUAUGUAAGUAAUAUCCCAUUUCCUUUAAAAAUAGUGGAGUUACUUGUUAACAUUGUUGUUCUUCAUGCAUGCCAUCUAUGCCAGAGCUAGUUAUUCAAAGGAUUUUCUUUGCAUAAUUAUUCUAUUUUGCUCUUAUUCUAGAUGAUUUACAUAAAAUUGGCUUAUUACUUUUGCAGAUGUAGAGAAAUUAAGAUGUAAGCCAAUAAUGGAUAGUAGCAACUAAUAAAAGGAAGCUAUUUCAGUUGAUUAUGUACAGUGUAAAAACAAAUAUAUUUGGUAUAUCAACUGCAGGCAAAAAAAGAAAAAA
rnacentral:lncRNA from 1 species